rnacentral:lncRNA from 10 species
CUUUAUUUCUAUUUUCAGAGUUUCACUUUGGGUCCACAGUGGGGCCUAUAACCAAUGCUGGAGGUUCUCAGCCAAAGAGAGUGCAGCGGCGCAUGGCUGUCCUGCAGAUGGUGACAGGUGGGGACUCUGCCCCUUCACUCUUGGAGGUCAGGCAGGGCUAAAUGGCUGCAGUCCCCUAAGCAGUCAGUCCUUUUUUUAAAAAGUAAGAACAAUGGCCUGUAUUUGUUAAACUUUUUUUUUUUUUUUUUUUGGUAACACAAGAAAGGAUCAUUGUGAUGCUGAGCCUCCAGUGCCACCAGACUCAGGGUUCCGGGUAGGCAGGGUCACAGCUGGGCACCCCGUUGUGCUGCUCCAGGACUGGCCCCGUGUCCUGGCCUUGGGGUUGAGUCUCGGGGUUGGCUGCAUGCGUUGGUGUGAUUUCAGGGCAUACACACGGAACGUGCUGCCCAGGUGCUGGGCCCAGGGAAGCCACGUGUCUCAGCCCUGAAGAGUUGUCCUGGCGUUGUGCACAACCUGGCUGGUGGCUUGGAGAGCAAACAGUACCCCCGACCCCACGGGUGUCUGCGGGCACUAGGCCCCACGUGCGGGUUCUCUGGAGUCUCCCAAGCUGAGCAUCACCGGACCCAGACCCGUCACAGCCAUGCUGAGCUUACCCGUCUGCAAGUCUGCUGGAACCUGGAACACAGCAGCCCUCCUGCCCAGCCACCCCAUUCCUGAGCUUCCUCUCCAUGCAAGAGUCCACUUGUAAAACAAACAACGGGCUGGGAGUUGUGUCUCCCCUUCACCACCAAUGGGAAUGACUGCAAAAUGCAUAGAAGGACACAGCCAUGCCCUUUCCACGGAAGUCACAGAGCACACCUCAACACACUGAGAAGACGUCCACGACAGAGAAAGAUGACGAAGGUCUCCUUUCUUCCACAUCGUGCUUCUGUGUACAGCUCAUCCACUUCCUCAUCCGUAAACUGAUCCCCCACGGUUGUCAGCAGCUCUCUCAG